ACGUGCUAACUGCCCGGUGCUACGUGAGUCAGAGGCCGGGGUGGAGUGCAUGAGCCGCGGUCAGACAGUCACCAAUCACCGGGCGGCUAAAUGGAUCGACGGAGGAUAAAACCAUUAAAAGAUGCGGAGAAACACAUCACCAGCUCCACUGACAAGACCCAUUCACUGGAAACCGAAUAUAUAGAAGGUUACUAAGUUUUGCAGCAUUGAUGCCGAUCAUGAGGACGAUCUGCACCCUAACUGCACUGUCAAUAAGAUCGUUGUUCAGAGAAAACCUCAUUUGUGCCUUUUUGCAAUCAGGGAUAUUUUCUUUGGAGAGGAAAUAACGUUUGACUAUGGCGCAUGUGAUUGGCCUUGGAGAAAGCUUUCAUUGAAGGAUGCCCAUAUGACUGCAGAAGAAAACUGCUCCGACAACUCUCUGAUGAGCUUUCAUUGAAGUAUGAUCAUAUGACGAGAAGAAGACAACUGCUCUGCUCCAGUAGGAGACCCACAACCCUCUGAUGAGCUUAUAUUGAAGGAUGACCAUAUGACAGAGGAAGAGAACUGCUCUGCUCCAGUACGUGACCCACAACUCUGAUGAGGUUUGCUGAAGUAUGACCGUAUGACAGAAGGAGAGAACAGCUCUGCUCCAGUACGAGACCCACAACUCUGAUGAGCUUAUAUUGAAGGAUGACCAUAUGACAGAGGAAGAGAACUGCUCUGCUCCAGUACGAGACUCACAACUCUCUGAUGAGCUUUUAUAGAAGGAUGACCAUAUGACAGAGGAAGAGAACUGCUCUGAUCCAGUAGGAGACCCACAACUCUGAUGAGCUUUGAUUGAAGGAUGACCAUAUGACAGAGAAAGAGAACUGCUCUGCUCCAGUACGUGACCCACAACUCUCUGAUGAGGUGUGAUGGAAGGAUGACCAUAUGACAGAGGAAGAGAACUGCUCUGCUCCAGUAGGAGACCCACAACUCUGAUGAGCUUUUAUUGAAGGAUGACCAUAUGACAGGGGAAGAGAACUGCUCUGCUCCAGUACGUGACCCACAACUCU
ensembl:processed_transcript